rnacentral:rRNA from 1 species
AGAGUUUGAUCCUGGCUCAGAUUGAACGCUGGCGGUAUGCUUAACACAUGCAAGUCGAACGGAAACGAAACUAGCUUGCUAGUAGGCGUCGAGUGGCGGACGGGUGAGUAACGCGUAGGAAUCUGCCUGAUAGUGGGGGAUAGCCCGAAGAAAUUCGGAUUAAUACCGCAUAAUCUAUUCGUAGUAAAGUGGGGGACUUUCGAGCCUCACGCUAUCAGAUGAGCCUGCGUAAGAUUAGCUUGUUGGUAGGGUAAAAGCCUACCAAGGCAACGAUCUUUAGCUGGUCUGAGAGGAUGAUCAGCCACAUCGGGACUGAGACACGGCCCGAACUCCUACGGGAGGCAGCAGUGGGGAAUAUUGGACAAUGGGGGCAACCCUGAUCCAGCAAUACCGCGUGUGUGAAGAAGGCCCGAGGGUUGUAAAGCACUUUCAAUUGUGAAGAAAAGUUAGCGGUUAAUAACCGUUGACCUUGACGUUAACUAUAGAAGAAGCACCGGCUAACUCCGUGCCAGCAGCCGCGGUAAUACGGAGGGUGCAAGCGUUAAUCGGAAUUACUGGGCGUAAAGCGUGCGUAGGCGGUUUAUUAAGUCAGAUGUGAAAGCCCCGGGCUUAACCUGGGAACUGCAUUUGAAACUGGUCAACUAGAGUAUGGUAGAGGAAAGUGGAAUUUCUGGUGUAGUGGUGAAAUGCGUAGAUAUCAGAAGGAACAUCAAUGGCGAAGGCAGCUUUCUGGACCAAUACUGACGCUGAGGUACGAAAGCGUGGGUAGCAAACAGGAUUAGAUACCCUGGUAGUCCACGCCGUAAACGAUGAUAACUAGCCGUUGGGGGGAUUUACCCCUUAGUGGCGAAGCUAACGCGUUAAGUUAUCCGCCUGGGGAGUACGGCCGCAAGGCUAAAACUCAAAGGAAUUGACGGGGACCCGCACAAGCGGUGGAGCAUGUGGUUUAAUUCGAUGCAACGCGAAGAACCUUACCUGGUCUUGACAUCCUGCGAACUUUCUAGAAAUAGAUUGGUGCCUUCGGGAACGCAGUGACAGGUGCUGCAUGGCUGUCGUCAGCUCGUGUCGUGAGAUGUUGGGUUAAGUCCCGUAACGAGCGCAACCCCUAUCCUUAUUUGCCAGCACAUUAUGGUGGGAACUAUAAGGAGACUGCCGGUGAUAAACCGGAGGAAGGCGGGGACGACGUCAAGUCAUCAUGGCCCUUACGACCAGGGCUACACACGUGCUACAAUGGGAAGGACAAAGAGCCGCGAAGCCGCGAGGUGUAGCUAAUCUCAUAAAUCUUUUCGUAGUCCGGAUUGGAGUCUGCAACUCGACUCCAUGAAGUCGGAAUCGCUAGUAAUCGUAGAUCAGAAUGCUACGGUGAAUACGUUCCCGGGUCUUGUACACACCGCCCGUCAUACCAUGGGAGUGGGUUGCACCAGAAGUGGCUAGUCUAACUUAGUGAGGACGGUCACCACGGUGUGAUUCAUGACUGGGGUAAAGUCGUAACAAGGUAACC